rnacentral:rRNA from 1 species
GACGAACGCUGGCGGCGUGCUUAACACAUGCCAGUCGAACGCUGAAGCUCAGCUUUUGUUGGGUGGAUGAGUGGCGAACGGGUGAGUAACACGUGAGUAACCUGCCCCCUUCUUUGGGAUAACGCCCGGAAACGGGUGCUAAUACUGGAUAUUCACUGGUCUUCGCAUGGGGGUUGGUGGAAAGGGUUUUUCUGGUGGGGGAUGGGCUCGCGGCCUAUCAGCUUGUUGGUGGGGUGAUGGCCUACCAAGGCUUUGACGGGUAGCCGGCCGGAGAGGGUGACCGGUCACAUUGGGACUGAGGUACGGCCCAGACUCCUACGGGAGGCAGCAGUGGGGAAUAUUGCACAAUGGGCGCAAGCCUGAUGCAGCGACGCCGCGUGAGGGAUGGAGGCCUUCGGGUUGUGAACCUCUUUCGCUAAUGGUCAAGCCGCAACAAUGGUUGUGGUGAGGGUAGUGGGUAAAGAAGCGCCGGCUAACUACGUG